AUUUAAUCUCUCCCGUCAUCGAUCGACCUUCCUCAAGACCGCGAUUCUAACCUAACUUUGUUAUUGUUUGAAUUUUGAAUAUUUUUAAUUCAGUUCCAACAUAUAUUUUUUGUUUUUCUGAUUACAAUAAAAAUGUAUGAAGAAGUAAAAGCAUUUGUAGAGUUUAUUGAUAAUAUUGGAGAAGAAAAUCGCCCGGGAAGUAUACAAAAGCAAUAUAUUCAAGAUAAAAAUAUAAUCUAAAAUACAAUGGAGUAUUACAAUAUUGAAGUUCAUCAGCGAAUCAGCGCAUUAACUUAAACAACAACAGCCUUAUUAAUAAAAAUUGCUUAGUUCGACGUUAGUCUCGGACUACUUAGUUCGAGAUUAAGCGAGUAAUUAAUCUUCAUUUUAAGAUUGUCAUUAAUAAACACGGACUAACUAAACCUUCCUUAGUCCUAGUUACAACAAAUUUAUGUUGGUAACCCUUGCGAAAAAGAAGAGAAAUGGAGAGAAUUUUGCGAAAAAGAAGAAAAUGUAGAGGAUUUAACCUCUCUUUCCUCUAAACCGAACAGCUGUUCGGUCGGUGCCAUUUCUGCAUAAAUUUUAGUUAAUUUUUGUUGGACUUCGUUCUGAGAAGGUGUUACCUGGUGUUUUAUAUUUUAUAUUAUUGUAUUAUUGUUUUGUAUUUCAUAUUAACUGCUGUACCUUUUGAAAAUCGGUAUUUGACUUUAAAUUUACCUUCUAAUUCCUCUAAACUAAAGAUUUUUUUAUAAUUUUGUAUAUUUUGAUGUGACUCACAAGAGGAAUAUCGUUCCGCUGAUUUCUAUCCUCAUUUAAUUCGUCUAUUAAUUAUCUUUAAUCAUUAAUAAAAUAAUAUCUCUCCAUUAUCAAUAAUAACAAUGCAUUAUACAUGCAAGCAAAAGCAAAUAAUGCAUUUAGCAAGUUUGUAAGGUUAUGAAUACAAAACGUCAAGAUAGUCCAUCGUUAGUCGCUGUUUAUUAAUAGGGAAAAUGACUUAGUCCUCGGACUAAAGUUAGUCGGGCGUUAGUCCGUGUUUAUUAAUAAGGCUGCAAAGGUUUUAUGCUACUUAUAGGAAUAUAACCAGUUUUUAUGAGGAAGCCCACUUUCCAAAAAUGUACAGGUACUAGAAGAGAAAUUAUGUAUAUUAUUGUUCAACAACAAGGUUAUCAAGUCAUUCAAUAUUUGAUCUAAGAGCAUUAAGAGUGAAAUUGUGAAAUGGAAAGAAUGAAAUUCCAGGAUUAUUAAUAGGAAUAGAUGACAGUAGUGGGUAUGCAUGCAGACACUAUCUACUUACCCCAGUAUUACAGCCAGGUAAUGAUCAAGAAAAUAAGAUAUUUUUACCAUAGUACUCAUGUGAGAACAAGAAAUGUAGAAAAGCUAUUUGGAACCUGGAAAAGAGAGUUUCCUUGUCUUCAACAAGGUCUACAAACCAAAUUAUAUACAUGUCUUGCAAUAAUAUGUGCUACAGCAGUACCUUACAAUCUAGGUAAAUAAUGAUCUGGUGGUAAAUAGACAUGUUAAUGAUGUGGAACAAUCUCUAAAUUUUUGGUGACAUUUUUUCAACAAUAUUUUGCAUGAGAAUAUAUUAUUGAAUACCUACUCUUAUUGUGUUUGAUUUUUUUGUCUAUUAUAUUUCUCAAAAUGUCAUCAUGAUCAUUGUUCGACAACCCUUUUUGUUUGAGUUUUGGUCUCUUGAGGAAUACAGCUCCAUUCCAGUCUAUUUCAGGAUUUGUUCUUACAAUUUUUUAUUUUUAAAAUAUCAAUGUCUUAUUCUAUUUGUUCCUUUUAUCUAAUCUAUAGUCUUUCUCUCGUUAUAUGUCCAGCUGACAUUUGUGUGUUUAUUUUAGAAAGUAUUUCAUAUGCUUCCAUCCUUCCUCUUAGAACGUGGUCCUAUUUUGAUGAAUGUAUAUGGAUCGUGGUAUGCCCUGUAUAGUUCAAAAUUAUAUUUCAUAUGCUUCCAUCCUUCCUCAUAGAACGUGGUCCUAUUUUGAUGAAUGUAUAUGGAUCGUGGUAUGCCCUGUAUAGUUCAAAAUUAUAUUUCAUAUGCUUCCAUCCUUCCUCUUAGAACGUGGUCCUAUUUUGAUGAAUGUAUAUGGAUCGUGGUAUGCCCUGUAUAGUUCAAAAUUAUAUCUUCUCUGGUCUUCAUAUUUUAGAUGCUAUUUAGCCUGAUUCUAGUGCUUUAUCGUUGUUUCCAGUGCUUUAUCAAUUUAUCAUCGUUUAUUUUACCUACCUGUCUACUGCUACUCUACUUUUGAACUUUCACCAUAUAUUUUUUGGAUAUAAAUAUAUAGUAACCUUCUGUCUUUCUCUUGUUCAACUGGAAUUUGUUUAUUUAUUCUGAGAAUACAUUAUUGAAUCUGUAUUAUGUUAGAUAUAUUAUUUUUUAUUUUAUUUCUUAAUAUCUAUUUUUUAUAUUUUAUUUUAAAAUAAAUGAGUAUGAGUUUCCCUCUUCUUAAAUAAGUAUUUAUUUGACAAACCUUUCCUUACCAAAUAUAAAAUUAAUUACACAUCUGGACCUCGGAGGUAAACUACACUAUGUCAUUUCGAGCAACUGUGUUUAGCGUGUGUUUGCAACAAAGUUUAGAGCACUUAGGAUGUUAAUAAACAUCUGAUAUAUCCCAUAAUUAGUUGAAAGACAAUAUGACAAUAUUUUAAUGAUAAUAUAUAACCAAUGUGUAUAAUCCAACUAAUAAAAAAACACCAUGUCAGUGGUGAUCUACACAACAUAGUGUAGAUUACCUCCGCCCUAACAAGACAAAACAUUCCAGGAAUGUACUAUCAAAGUUCUAUUAAUGUUUGAAUGUACUGGACAUUCAAGGAACAUUCGGUGAAUAUCUGAUUAAGUUAUUCGUGGAAUGUUACCACAAGACAUUCUAUGAACAUACUACCAAUGUCCUAUAUUUUAAGAGAGGCCAUUUACUAUUCAAUUUGCAUUCAUUUUCAAAUUUGCUGCGCGUGUAUAUGUAUUUAGGCAAUCCAAACCACUUGACUUCUGGUUCUGGUUGGCAUGGCAUACAGGUUACAGAGAUUAUGUUUGUAAUAUCAUUUCAUUUCAUCAUUUCACUGUUUAUCGUCAUAUUUUGGAUUCAUUUGGAUUUCGUUUGCUGUAUUUUGUGAACUUUAUAAACUUUACCACACUGCAAAGUGAUUAUUUAAGGAAAUUAUUAUUGGAGACACCAGAUGUUUGGAGAAAGGUAGGGCAAACAAUUUUUAUCAAUGUUCAUUUUUCUCUGAUAUUUAUCAAUAUUGAUGAAGUUUGCAAGCAAUAACAUUAUUUCUUUUAUUGUUUUAGAUAUUUAUUGAAGCUGAAAAUAAUUGGGGAUUUAGAUCCAUAUACAAUUCAGUCAGAAUUGGAUUUUACCAUAAAGUGCAUUCCACCAAAUUACUAUUAUAGAUAUUAUAGAUGAAAGCAUACAAAAGCCUUCAGGCAUAUAAAUAUUUUACAGCUGGAUUUGUUUUUAAAGUUGGAGUAAAGUUGGAAGUCACAAGCAACAACUUCGUAAGUACCUACAAGAAUAUUGAGGAAAUCCAGCUCCUGGAUACUACUGGGCAAACUAGAAAAUUGAAGAGGACAAAGCCUUUUGAACUAGUUUGAGUGAUAGUGAAAAGCAGAGCAUAAUGCUUGUGUGCAUGUGUAUGUUAGAAUAGUGCGGUUAGAAAAGCAGAGCAUAGUGCUUACGUGCCUGUUAGAUUAGAUAAGAGACGCUAUGGGUAAGCUCUUCAUUUUAAGGAACAGUAGUAAUUUAGGUUAAAUUAAAAUUGCUCAUUGGUCAGAGUUAUGACCAGAUUGUAAUUCUAAUGAACAAUUCAAUACAAUGAAUCGUCAUCGUAGUGAUGAUUAUGGAAAAAAAUAUAUGACAAGAUUUUGUGCAAUAAAAAUGUUUAUAUUUA
rnacentral:lncRNA from 1 species